rnacentral:rRNA from 1 species
UAGGGAAUAUUGGGCAAUGGCCGAGAGGCUGACCCAGCCAUGCCGCGUGCAGGAUGAAGGCUUUCUGAGUCGUAAACUGCUUUUGCCAGGGAAGAAUAAGGGCCGUGCGCGGUCCGACGACGGUACCUGGUGAAUAAGCACCGGCUAACUCCGUGCCAGCAGCCGCGGUAAUACGGAGGGUGCAAGCGUUGUCCGGAUUUAUUGGGUUUAAAGGGUGCGUAGGCGGUGCUUUAAGUCUGGGGUGAAAGCCCGUUGCUCAACAACGGAACUGCCCUGGAAACUGGAGCACUUGAGUACAGACGAGGGUGGCGGAAUGGAGGGUGUAGCGGUGAAAUGCAUAGAUACCCUCCAGAACCCCGAUUGCGAAGGCAGCUGCCUAGACUGUAACUGACGCUGAGGCACGAAAGCGUGGGGAGCGAACAG